rnacentral:rRNA from 1 species
UACGAAGGGGGCUAGCGUUGUUCGGAUUUACUGGGCGUAAAGCGCGUGUAGGCGGGCUGGAAAGUUGGGGGUGAAAUCCCGAGGCUCAACCUCGGAACUGCCUCCAAAACUUCCAGCCUGGACUCAAGCAGAGGCAAGUGGAAUUGCGAGUGUAGAGGUGAAAUUCGUAGAUAUUCGCAGGACCACCAGUGGCGAAGGCGACUUGCUGGGCUUGUAGUGACGCUGAGACGCGAAAGCGUGGGGAGCAAACAGG